CCCCGUCACACCACGAAAGCUGGUUUCACCAGAAGUCGGUGCGCCAACCGUAAGGAAGCAGCCGCCCAAGGUGAGGUCGGUGAUCGGGGUGAAGUCGUAACAAGGUACC
rnacentral:rRNA from 1 species